rfam:Streptomyces viridochromogenes DSM 40736 genomic scaffold supercont1.1, whole genome shotgun sequence.
UCGAGACAGGGGGACCGUGGCCGAAGCGUGACCGAUAAACUGUUCCACGGACGGCGCCCGGGUGCAGCCCCCGCCGUCCGCCAAUGAUCAGCCAGCAGCCGCUGCAACCCCAGGGAG